rnacentral:lncRNA from 1 species
AGGUGAAGAAAGUACUGAACGAAGUUGCUGAGGAAUGGUUACAAGAGCACAAGCAAAAGAGAGCUUCGGGUGAGUUCAGGGACGAGGAAGAAGACUUCAUGGAUGUCAUGCUGUCAAUCCUCACCGACGCCAAGGAGUAUGAUGCUGAUACAAUAAACAAAGCUACGUGCCUGGUAUGCUCUAAUUUGAUUUGUUAAUUCAUCAAUAAUCAAUCAUAAACUUCAUUUAGAAAUAACUCCAUUCAGAUUUUACCUUUGACAAUUUAAAUUAUAUAUGUUAUCUUUCGAUUACUUUUCAGAUUCUUAUCUUAGCAGCCACUGAUCCCACAGCGGUUACAUUGACAUGGUGUUUAGCCUUAUUACUCAAUAAUCGUGAUGCGUUGAAGAAAGCACAGCAAGAAAUAGACAUCCAUAUCGGUAAAGACAAGCCAGUGGAGGAAAAUGAUAUAAAGAAUUUAGUUUACCUUCAAGCCAUAAUCAAGGAAACCUUGCGAUUACACCCUGCCGGACCACUCGCAGUGCCUCAUGAAUCCAUGGAAAACUGCACCGUUAAUGGCUACCAUAUCCCUGCAGGCACAGAACUUCUCAUCAAUCUUUACAAAAUCCAUCGCGAUUCUCGCGUAUGGUCUGAUCCUUACAAGUUUCAACCGGAAAGGUUUUUGACUACUCACAAAAAUUUUGAUGUAAGGGGUCAGAAUUUUGAGUUGAUACCAUUUAGUAGUGGAAGAAGAAUGUGCCCUGGAGUUUCCUUUGCGCUUCAGGUUGUGCAGCUUACGCUAGCCAAUUUGCUGCAUGGGUUUGACUUAGCAACGCCAUUCGAUGAACCAGUUGAUAUGCGAGAGGCAGCCGGGCUGUCAAAC